rnacentral:rRNA from 1 species
UACGAAGGGGGCUAGCGUUGCCCGGAAUCACUGGGCGUAAAGCGCACGUAGGCGGAUUGCUAAGUCAGGGGUGAAAUCCUGGAGCUCAACUCCAGAACUGCCUUUGAUACUGGCGACCUUGAGUCCGGGAGAGGUGAGUGGAACUGCGAGUGUAGAGGUGAAAUUCGUAGAUAUUCGCAAGAACACCAGUGGCGAAGGCGGCUCACUGGCCCGGUACUGACGCUGAGGUGCGAAAGCGUGGGGAGCAAACAGG